rnacentral:rRNA from 1 species
GACGGAGGGCGCGAAUGCUAUUCGUUUGAUUGGGUGUAAGGGUAAGUAGGCGGCAAUCAAAUUUUUUGGCGGCAAACUGCGGAGGGUUCCUACGCAUUCUGCCUUCUAAUGAGAUUUCUUGGUGUUGAGGAGAGGUCUAGGCAAGGUUCGCUUCGAGUAGGGGUAAAAUCCAUGCGAUAUGCGAACGAACGCCAGUCGGCGAAGGCGCUUUCCUGUCUCAACAGACGCUCAGGUACGGAAGCUUGAGUAGCAAACGGG